AGCGAACGCUGGCGGCAUGCCUAACACAUGCAAGUCGCACGGUCCGGGGGAGACUUCGGGCAGUGGCGGACGGGUGAGUAACGCGUAGGGAUCUAUCCUUGGAUGGGGGACAACCGCGGGAAACCGCGGCUAAUACCGCAUGAUGCCUGAGGGCCAAAGCUUCGAUGAUCUGAUCGUGGCACGCUUGUGCCGCGUGAAUCAG
rnacentral:rRNA from 1 species